UGUAAGCGUAUACCAAAGUUGUUGCAGUUAAAACGCUCGUAGUCGGAAUUUGGCAGUUCCGGAUGUGUGCACGUCGUGUGCGCACUUCGCGGGGAUUGCUUUUGUGGUCUUGCGUAGGAUGAGGCACUUUUAUUAGUGAACGUCCUCACGCAACCACUUUUUACUGUGAGAAAAUCAGAGUGCUCAAAGCAGGCAUUUGCCGUGAAUGUAUUAGCAUGGAAUAAUAGAAUAGGACUUGGUUCUAUUUUGUUGGUUUGUUGGGACUGAGUAAUGAUUAAGAGGGACAGUUGGGGGCAUUUGUUUUUCGGUGCUAGAGGUGAAAUUCUUAGAUUACCGAAAGACAAACUGCUGCGAAAGCGUCUGCCAAGGAUGUUUUCAUUGA
rnacentral:rRNA from 1 species